rnacentral:rRNA from 1 species
CAUGCAAGUCGAACGAAGUAGCAAUACUUAGUGGCAGACGGGUGAGUAACAUGUAGGUAUCUGCCCUUUGGCCUGGAAUAACACGAGGAAACUUGUGCUAAUACCGGAUAAGUCUUUACGGAGAAAGCUUUAUGCACCAUUGGAUGAGCCUGCACUUGAUUAGUUUGUUGGUGGGGUAAUGGCCUACCAAGACUUUGAUCAAUAGCUGAUUUGAGAGGAUGAUCAGCCACAUUGGGACUGAGACACGGCCCAAACUCCUACGGGAGGCAGCAGUGGGGAAUCUUGCACAAUGGAGGAAACUCUGAUGCAGCGAUGCCGCGUGAGUGAAGAAGGCCUUUGGGUUGUAAAGCUCUUUCGUCGGGGAAGAAAAUGACUGUACCCGAAUAAGAAGGUCCGGCUAACUUCGUGCCAGCAGCCGCGGUAAUACGAAGGGACCUAGCGUAGUUCGGAAUUACUGGGCUUAAAGAGUUCGUAGGUGGUUGAAAAAGUUGGUGGUGAAAUCCCAGAGCUUAACUCUGGAACUGCCAUCAAAACUUUUCAGCUAGAGUAUGAUAGAGGAAAGCAGAAUUUCUAGUGUAGAGGUGAAAUUCGUAGAUAUUA